AUCCUUUUCUGGUUCAUAAGCAUGACAAUUGUGUGGUCACACUAUUGUGUGAAAUGUGCCUCCCUCAAACCUUGUUAGAAUGCUGGCACCUUACCUUUCUCUAUCGAUA